rnacentral:rRNA from 1 species
AGAGUUUGAUCCUGGCUCAGAACGAACGCUGGCGGCAUGCCUAACACAUGCAAGUCGAACGAAGUCUUCGGACUUAGUGGCGCACGGGUGCGUAACGCGUGGGAAUCUGCCCUUAGGUACGGAAUAACUCAGGGAAACUUGUGCUAAUACCGUAUGAUGUCUUCGGACCAAAGAUUUAUCGCCUAGGGAUGAGCCCGCGUUGGAUUAGCUAGUUGGUGGGGUAAAGGCCUACCAAGGCGACGAUCCAUAGCUGGUCUGAGAGGAUGAUCAGCCACACUGGGACUGAGACACGGCCCAGACUCCUACGGGAGGCAGCAGUGGGGAAUAUUGGACAAUGGGCGAAAGCCUGAUCCAGCAAUGCCGCGUGAGUGAUGAAGGCCUUAGGGUUGUAAAGCUCUUUUACCCGGGAAGAUAAUGACUGUACCGGGAGAAUAAGCCCCGGCUAACUCCGUGCCAGCAGCCGCGGUAAU